rnacentral:rRNA from 1 species
CCUACGGGAGGCAGCAGUGGGGAAUAUUGCACAAUGGGCGCAAGCCUGAUGCAGCCAUGCCGCGUGUAUGAAGAAGGCCUUCGGGUUGUAAAGUACUUUCAGCGGGGAGGAAGGUGUUGCGGUUAAUAACCGCAGCAAUUGACGUUACCCGCAGAAGAAGCACCGGCUAACUCCGUGCCAGCAGCCGCGGUAAUA